rnacentral:misc_RNA from 1 species
GGUUCUCCCAUUGAUGUGGUAAGUAUACUUUGUCCACUUGCUGGUAAAUCUAGCAAAUACGUGGUAGCAGCUCAAAAAAUUCAUCAUCAUCGCUUAUAGCCAUAAAUUCUAUUUUUUAUAUGAGCUUUGUUCCUUUUUGCUUGACCAUUCUUAAUGAUAACCUAUUGAAUACAAGAGUUAUCGAAAAUAAAGAACAUAGUAUUUGGAAUGAUAAUGAAGCCAGUAAAAUAUUUUGCUACUGUAGCAAUUGACUAUAUCUAGAACACACAAGUGACCAUUGAUAUUUAUUUGACAUUUAGGCCAUGUUUGGUUCACUUUGAAAAUAGGAAUGGAAUUCAAUUCUUGUAAUAGGAUUCUGUUUUCUUGUUCAGGUCGCAAGGAAUUAAAAUUUUUAUGAUAUUCUUAUAUCUAAAUUGCUUGAAUUUUUAUUAAAAUGGAAUCUAUUUUUAAUUAUAUUUUAAAAAUUACUAUUAAAUUCUAUUUCAUUAUUUCAAAAAUAAUCCUGGAAUAAAAUUCUUGUAAUUUAGAAAUAUAUUUCCAUUCUCAUUCCAUUUCCAAAAUAAACCAAACAUGCCCUUGGCAUAAUCUAGAGAAUUCAGCAUGGGAAUAACAAGGGUUGUAUCAUGGGAGAUUGUGUUACAAAAUUACUUUGUAUCAUGUUGAUCUUAUUUUGCAAGUCUAUAUACUUUUUGAUGAAUGAUGGUCACCUAGUAAGUCAACGCUUGAUUGGAUGCUGUGCAUGUUAUGUUCUAGGUGAAAUCUAGAAUGAUGGGAG